GUAUAAGCAAUCAUACUGUGAAACUGCGAAUGGCUCAUUAUAUCAGUUAUCGUUUAUUUGAUAGUACCUUACUACAUGGAUAACCGUGGUAAUUCUAGAGCUAAUACAUGCUAAAAACCUCGACUUCGGAAGGGGUGUAUUUAUUAGAUAAAAAACCAAUGCCCUUUGGGCUCCUUGGUGAUUCAUAAUAACUUUACGAAUCGCAUGGCCUUGCGCCGGCGAUGGUUCAUUCAAAUUUCUGCCCUAUCAACUUUCGAUGGUAGGAUAGUGGCCUACCAUGGUUUCCACGGGUAACGGGGAAUUAGGGUUCGAUUCCGGAGAGGGAGCCUGAGAAACGGCUACCACAUCCAAGGAAGGCAGCAGGCGCGCAAAUUACCCAAUCCCAAUUCGGGGAGGUAGUGACAAUAAAUACUGAUGCAGGGCUCUUUUGGGUCUUGCAAUCGGAAUGAGUACAGUCUAAAUCCCUUAACGAGGAACAAUUGGAGGGCAAGUCUGGUGCCAGCAGCCGCGGUAAUUCCAGCUCCAAUAGCGUAUAUUAAAGUUGUUGCAGUUAAAAAGCUCGUAGUUGAACCUUGGGUCUGGCUGGUUGGUCCGCCUCACCGCGUGUACUGAUCCGGCCGGACCUUUCCUCCUGGGGAAUCGCAUGCCCUUCACUGGGUGUGCUGGGGAACCAGGACUUUUACUUUGAAAAAAUUAGAGUGUUCAAAGCAGGCCUUCGCUCGAAUACAUUAGCAUGGAAUAAUAGAAUAGGACGUGUGGUUCUAUUUUGUUGGUUUCUAGGACCGCCGUAAUGAUUAAUAGGGAUAGUCGGGGGCAUCAGUAUUCAAUUGUCAGAGGUGAAAUUCUUGGAUUUAUUGAAGACUAACUACUGCGAAAGCAUUUGCCAAGGAUGUUUUCAUUAAUCAGUGAACGAAAGUUAGGGGAUCGAAGACGAUCAGAUACCGUCGUAGUCUUAACCAUAAACUAUGCCGACUAGGGAUCGGGCGAUGUUAUCUUUUGACUCGCUCGGCACCUUACGAGAAAUCAAAGUCUUUGGGUUCUGGGGGGAGUACGUCAGCAAUGAUGAAACUUAAAGAAAUUGACGGAAGG
rnacentral:rRNA from 1 species